GUUUAUCUUAGGCAAUAUGUCAAGAAUGAAGCAUUUGCAUGGAAAAUCAUAGGGAAUGUGAAAAAAGAAUGAAUUACUAUUAGUGUUGUUGAGUCCCAAAUCGAUUGGAUAUUGGGAAAAAGUGCUUUGUAUAUGAGUUUAGCAAUCCACCACCCAUAAGGUGCAUUUUGAGAUAAAGCUAGGUUCGGUCUAUUUUAUCAAGUAUGAAAUUA
rnacentral:misc_RNA from 1 species